AUGCAUUGUGUUUGUGUGUAGUGUAAAAGAGAGGGUUUGUGGGGUAGGAUAGGGACUGAGAGGGGAACAGCUCUUUAUUUUUUUUAAACAUUUUCAUAGUGCUCUCCCCUCCUGUCAAUUAUUGAUUUCCCCUUCCCUCCUGUCCCUCCAUGUUCUACCCCUUCUGUCGCUUAGUGCUCUCCCUUGGCCCCCUGUCCCUCUGCAGUCCCCCCUUGGUGGUCUUCUCACUCCCCC